GGAGAGGUAGCAUAGUCCGGCCUAAUGCGCGCGCUUGGAGUGCGUGUGUACCGCGAGGUACCGUGGGUUCGAAUCCCACCCUCUCCG
rnacentral:tRNA from 1 species